GAAAAGGUAAUAGAAAGAAAUUAGAAUUAAAUGAGUGUUGGGAGGACUAAAUUAAAAUGGAAGGAAAUAAAGUAAUUUUAUGUGAAGUCUGGUCAAAGCUUCCAAAGAAAGCUUUGACUUUGAUUUUUUUAGGCCAAAACCGACCUUAUCCUUUCCCCUAGCAGAUUUUUCUUCUUCUUCAUCCAUGCCCCAGGCCAUUCUUGAAGCUUCCAUGCCAUUUUCUCUUUAUCCACCAUGAAAUCAAGUUUUCUUCACUUUCCUUUCCAUGUUUUCUUUUCCUUUCUUCUCCAAACUUCUUGGGCAUUAAAUUUAUAGCCUUUAACCCCAAUUUCUAGCACACCAAAACCCUAGGAGGAGAAGAAAGAAAAAGAGAGAAAGGAAGAAAAAGCUUGGUUUUGGUGAUUCAAGCAAGGAACAGUAAGAAUUCUUGUUUUUGGCUUGAGUAGUCUUUGAAAAUGAGUUAGUGACUUAGAGAAAUAUCUUGUGGCAGCAAAGAUUGGCUUGAUUGGAGAAAAAUAGGUAACAUAUAAGCCAAUAAACCCAUGGGUACAUGAAGGACUUAAAGUGGAAAAGGAAAACGGUAAGCUUAACAUUAUGUUUUAAAGCCUACGGUUAGUUGAAUAUUGUGAGGAAUUAUGGUUGUUGAAAGGAUUUAUUUGCCUAAGCUAGUUGAAAAUUAUUAAAAUUGUAUGGCAUGUUGUUUGAAAUAAAUGCAAAAGGAAUAUUGUGGAUGGAGGAUUGAGAAACAAAGUAUUAAAAGUUAGAUAGAUAACAAUGCAUGUGUGGAAAUAUAAUCGAGUGAAAGUUAGAAUGAUUGUUGCUGCCAUAUAUGUGGAUUAUGUGUG
rnacentral:lncRNA from 1 species